rnacentral:rRNA from 1 species
AAGAGAUCGGGAUAACACCUGGAAACAGAUGCUAAUACCGGAUAACAAUAGAUGAUGCCUAUCAACUGUUUAAAAGAUGGUUCUGCUAUCACUCUUGGAUGGACCUGCGGUGCAUUAGCUAGUUGGUAGGGUAACGGCCUACCAAGGCGAUGAUGCAUAGCCGAGUUGAGAGACUGAUCGGCCACAUUGGGACUGAGACACGGCCCAAACUCCUACGGGAGGCAGCAGGC